CGCCAACACAAACCCUAACCUGCGAUUACACAUCUAUCCUCCAUCUUCUCUCUUCUAUCGACACCACCAGGAGACCCUAGAAGACGCCUCCAAGUCCUCAGUUCAGGCUAGUGAUCCCCGUCAUCUUUAAUACUCGGACGUGAUUGACCAACCCCGGCCAUUAGCUAUUUUUAAGAGUCCAACCGAGCAACCAAAGGUGAGUUCACACUUUCUACAAGGCAUGGGAUUCCCAGGGGCUGGGAAUGGGUAAAGGAUUUAAACUGGAACUGCGUGAUCUCUUGGUUUGGGACACGUACACACCCUCUUUAUUGAAGGGUGACAACACGUGAUAAGGAUAUAAUCGGAACCUGCGUAAUCUCCUGGUUUGGGGAUUACGUACACACCCUCUUUACUGAAGGGUGACAACAAGGAUACUAGGCCAAAACUCUCUAUCAUGAAGUCCCUCCGUGUUGUUUGGUUACCUGGGAGGUAACAUGGUAUUAGUUAGUAGCGCUAUUUAGGUUUGACAAGCCUCACACCGUGCCGCAGAGGACGGGCGUGAACUAAUGGAUCUGGGCACUAGUCAAUGAUGAUAGACAUUAACGUCAGGGCACCAACUUACUUUAGUCAGUGGUCGAUAUGGUAAACAGGUCUAGUGGUUAACAUGGGGAAGCCCUCACCAACUAUGGAUAUGUUUGGGAAACAGGGUCGUUAGGUAUUUCAGGAGCUUGCACGAGGAGGCGUGGACGUUGUGGGACAUGGACUGUUGAGUUCCAUGUUAAACUUAUGAACUUUUAACUUAUGUUUUAGGUUUUAAACUUUAUGCUUCCGCUGAUAACUUUAACUUGGUUGAAUUGUUUUGACAUCAAUUAUAUUGAUUGGAUUGGACUU
rnacentral:lncRNA from 1 species